rnacentral:rRNA from 1 species
UACGAAGGGGGCUAGCGUUGCUCGGAAUUACUGGGCGUAAAGCGCACGUAGGCGGAUUGUUAAGUCGGGGGUGAAAUCCUGGAGCUCAACUCCAGAACUGCCUUCGAUACUGGCGAUCUCGAGUUCGGGAGAGGUGAGUGGAACUGCGAGUGUAGAGGUGAAAUUCGUAGAUAUUAGGAAGAACACCGGCGGCGAAGGCGGCCCACUGGAUCGGUACUGACGCUGAGGUGCGAAAGCGUGGGGAGCAAACAGG